UACAGAGGUCUCAAGCGUUGUUCGGAUUCAUUGGGCGUAAAGGGCGCGUAGGCGGUCACGCACGUCCGUUGUGAAAUCGCUCGGCUCAACUGGGCGGGGUCAGCGGAUACGGCGUGGCUGGAGCAAGCUAGGGGGCAAUGGAAUUCCCGGUGUAGUGGUGGAAUGCGUAGAUAUCGGGAGGAACACCAGUGGCGAAGGCGGUUGCCUGGAGCUUUGCUGACGCUGAUGCGCGAAAGCGUGGGGAGCAAACAGG
rnacentral:rRNA from 1 species